rnacentral:rRNA from 1 species
UACGUAGGGGGCGAGCGUUGUCCGGAUUUACUGGGCGUAAAGCGCGCGUAGGCGGAAGAUUAAGCGUGGCUUGAAAGCCCCCGGCUCAACCGGGGAAGGUGGCUGCGAACUGGUCUUCUUGAGGGCGAUAGAGGGGGGCGGAAUUCCUGGUGUAGCGGUGAAAUGCGCAGAUAUCAGGAGGAACACCGAUGGCGAAGGCAGGUCUCUGGGCCGAUACUGACGCUGAGGGGCGAAAGCGUGGGGAGCGAACAGG